CUAAGUAUAAGCAAUCUAUACGGUGAAACUGCGAAUGGCUCAUUAAAUCAGUUAUCGUUUAUUUGAUAGUACCUUACAACUGGGAUAACCGUGGUAAUUCAAGAGCUAAUACAUGCUAAAAACCUCGACUUCGGAAGGGGUGUAUUUAUAAGAUAAAAAACCAAUGCCCUUCGGGGCUCCUUGGUGAUUCAUAAUAACUUAACGAAUCGCAUGGCCUUGUGCCGGCGAAUGGUUCAUUCAAAUUUCUGCCCUAUCAACUUUCGAUGGUAGGAUAGUGGCCUACCAUGGUUUCAACGGGUAACGGGGAAUUAGGGUUCUAUUCCGGAAAAAGGAACCUGAAAAACGGCUACCACAUCCAAGGAAAGCAGCAGGCGCGCAAAUUACCCAAUCCCGACACCGGGAGGUAGUGACAAUAAAUACUGAUACAGGGCUCUUUUGGGCCUUGUAAUUGGAAUGAAUACAAUUUAAAUCCCUUAACGAAGAACAAUUGGACGGCAAGNCUGGUGCCAGCAGCCGCGGUAAUUCCAGCUCCAAUAGCGUAUAUUAAA
rnacentral:rRNA from 2 species